GCCUAGCCCAGAUAGAAACGGCAUCCUUUUAUAUUUUGUUAUUUCAACAAGAAAUAAAAGAUAUAGUGUAGAGCUGGAAAUAGC
rnacentral:sRNA from 1 species